rnacentral:rRNA from 1 species
GUGGUAGCGGCGAGCGACGCGGAACGAGUUUUGGGGUCCACUGGGUUACCAGGAUGUGCUCUUUUUUAUUUUGUAUCAAAAAAAAUGGGCAGCACGCUUGAAGGCGUGACAUUGCAGGGUGCUAGUCCCGUCCCCCUUUUUUUCGAUACAGUAUAAAAAACAAAAGUAGUGCGUCUUGGGAAUGACGUGCGAGGGCGGUGGUAGACGCGAUCGUGGGCUAAAUAAGCUUGUGAGACCGAUAGUGGACAAGUACUGUGAAGGAAAGAUGAAAACGACUCUCAACAGAGAGU